CCACUGAGAGGCCAUGUGUUUACUUCUGGCAACAAUAUCCUGAUGCCGUCUGAGUGUGCGGGAAAGCUCCAGCAUCAGUGAUUUUGUUGGUGGUGGUAAAUAAAAAGCAUCUUAGACUCU
rnacentral:pre_miRNA from 14 species